rnacentral:rRNA from 1 species
CAUAAGCGGAGGAAAAGAAACCAACAGGGAUUGCCUCAGUAGCGGCGAGUGAAGCGGCAAGAGCUCAGAUUUGAAAUCGUGCUUUGCGGCACGAGUUGUAGAUUGCAGGUUGGAGUCUGUGUGGAAGGCGGUGUCCAAGUCCCUUGGAACAGGGCGCCCAGGAGGGUGAGAGCCCCGUGGGAUGCCGGCGGAAGCAGUGAGGCCCUUCUGACGAGUCGAGUUGUUUGGGAAUGCAGCUCCAAGCGGGUGGUAAAUUCCAUCUAAGGCUAAAUACUGGCGAGAGACCGAUAGCGAACAAGUACUGUGAAGGAAAGAUGAAAAGCACUUUGAAAAGAGAGUGAAACAGCACGUGAAAUUGUUGAAAGGGAAGGGUAUUGCGCCCGACAUGGGGAUUGCGCACCGCUGCCUCUCGUGGGCGGCGCUCUGGGCUUUCCCCUGGGCCAGCAUCGGUUCUUGCUGCAGGAGAAGGGGUUCUGGAACGUGGCUCUUCGGAGUGUUAUAGCCAGGGCCAGAUGCUGCGUGCGGGGACCGAGGACUGCGGCCGUGUAGGUCACGGAUGCUGGCAGAACGGCAGACCGAACC